ACGAAAAUCGCUUGCGAUUUUCGCACCGUCCUUUCUACGUACCGAUUACGAACGUGUGCACUUUUCUUCUGGUAGGACGUCGCGAUCCGUUGGGUGUCGGUUUAAGGUUCAUGGUGGAGUCCGUUUUGCUUAUGUGUCGAAUGGACCCGUGAUAUCCCGACCGACUCGCUCGACGGUAUACGAAAGGUUUAAGGCCGCUCAUUUGGGAGCGUUCGACUCGUAGCAACCGCGUUAGUUUUUGUUGAAGAUCGGACCUAGUGCCGAUCCCGACAGCUGACGGUUUGGUUGUUUAUGAAGAUUCUCGAACAGACCUUGUAACCGAUCGGCGACGAUAUAGAUUUGGGUACUUUCAGGACCCGUCUUGAAACACGGACCAAGGAGUCCAGCAUAUACGCAAGUCAUUGGGAAUGAUUAAACCUAAAGGCAUAAUGAAAGUGAAAAUUCUCCUUGCGGGAAUUAAGGGAAGACUAGCGGUUUAGCCGUUAAAAGCGACCGCUUUGCAUUCCUGGGGCGUCUCAUUCUUAGCAUAUCCUUGUGAUGUGCGAGAAGAGGCGCACCAAGAGCGUAUACGCUGGGACCCGAAAGAUGGUGAACUAU
rnacentral:rRNA from 1 species